CGUGAUGGAAGCCAGCUUCUUAGUGCAUCAUUUGAUAGUACCGCAAGAAUUCAUGGCCUCAAGUCUGGCAAAAUGUUGAAAGAAUUUCGAGGUCACACUUCAUAUGUUAAUGAUGCAAUAUUCACAAAUGAUGGCAGCCGUGUCAUUACAGCUUCCAGUGAUUGCACUGUGAAGGUGUGGGAUAUGAAAACAACUGAUUGU